AUGCCACAGAGGGUAAGACCUCGGGACACACAGACCAUGUUGACACAUGAAGACAAUGGUACAAAGAGCUCUGAAGACUAUCGUCAAUACCUGUACAGGCUGUUGGGGGACGAGAAAGCCGAAUACUUUCUCAACCCUGACUCCCCGGGCUCACAAGCCUCUUGUUGGUACUUGCAGAUGAUCGAUGGCAUGGGAGACCAUGUAAGUGCAGAAGGUUAUUGGGACGUCCUGAGACAGAGGUCUACAUCGCUGAUGUCUCACACCACAGCAUUACAGUCAAUGCUGGAGAGAUUCUGCAAGUAUUGGGAUGGUGACCGCGAUCGAGGCCACAUGCAGCACUACAGCAGAGUCCAACUCAUGUUUCGCUCUGCACAGUGUCACCAAGUCCGUGCUUCUCAGCUACUGACCCAGAACCCCGUACCACUCUUCCACAAUGGUGAGGGAAAUGGACUCAGUAUUUACCUUGCUCAGGAUCAAGCUAUGGUGACCGGGCAGUGUGACACUGCGGUGGAACCAAAAUGACAAACUCAGCCACAUUCAGCCCAUUUCUUAAACUCAUAUAUUUGCUUUGUCUUCAUUACUUUGGAUUUCUAUACAGAAAGAUGUUUCUGCCUGACCCAGGAAACAAAGUCAUUACUGCUUCACUUAAGCCACAAGGAGGCAGUACAUAGACAUUACGUGCCAUUAAAUAGCACUUUUCAGGUAUUACUGCUCAAAUGACAGCUUUAACACCCAACUUCUUCUGUUGCAGUUGUCUGAGGUUGGAUCUUUUGUGAAUGAAAAAGCAAAAAAACAGGAACAAGAACAGAAUAAAUUGUGUUCUUUAUGUAAAAGUAUGCUGUGU
rnacentral:lncRNA from 1 species